rnacentral:rRNA from 1 species
GAUGAACGCUAGCGGGAGGCUUAACACAUGCAAGUCGAGGGGCAGCACGAUGUAGCAAUACGUUGGUGGCGACCGGCGCACGGGUGAGUAACGCGUAUGUAACCUACCUUGUACAGGGGGAUAGCCCGGAGAAAUUCGGAUUAAUACCCCAUAAUGAUAUUUGAAGGCAUCUUUAGAUAUUUAAAGUUUCGACGGUACGAGAUGGGCAUGCGUGACAUUAGCUAGUUGGUAAGGUAACGGCUUACCAAGGCUACGAUGUCUAGGGGUCCUGAGAGGGUGAUCCCCCACACUGGUACUGGGACACGGACCAGACUCCUACGGGAGGCAGCAGUGAGGAAUAUUGGUCAAUGGGCGUAAGCCUGAACCAGCCAUCCCGCGUGAAGGAAGAAGGCGCUAUGCGUCGUAAACUUCUUUACCGGAGGAAUAAAAUUUCGUACGUGUACGGGACUGAAGGUACUCCGGGAAUAAGCAUCGGCUAACUCCGUGCCAGCCGCCGCGGUAACAC